GCGAGUAUAGAUCAACGGUAGAUCGAUAGCCUUCCAAGCUAAUGGUAUGAGUUCGAAUCUCAUUAUUCGCU
rnacentral:tRNA from 1 species